CCCUUUGUGGUGUGGUGGCAGUAGCACUCGUCACCGGCAUGGAUGAAACGCGGGUUCGAGUCCCGCUUGAGGCCA